rnacentral:rRNA from 1 species
UGUCAAGUUCAAGCUCCGAUCACGAGGGCGAAACCGCGAAUGGCUCAUUAAAUCAGUCGUAAUCUACUUGAUUUACAAGUUUACAUGGAUAACUGUGGUAAUUCUAGAGCUAAUACAUGCACAAAGAGGGCGACUUUCCUUGUGAGAGAAGCUCUGCGUUUAUUAGACUAAGACCAGCGACGCGCAAGCGUCCUCAAAAUGGUGACUCUGAGUAAAUAAUGGGUGAAAGCCCAUGUUGCCGACCUGGCAUACCAAAGGGUCUACGGCUCCACCCUAAACAAGUGGUCCGCACUCCCGCCAGGCGAUUCAAUCGAGUGUCUGCUCUAUCAACUGUGGAUGGUAGGGUAAUUGCCUACCAUGGUGGUGACGGGUAACGGGGAGUUAGGGCUCGACUCCGGAGAACAAGCCUGAGAAACGGCUAGUAGGACUAAGGUCUGCAGCAGGCGCGAAACUUACACAAUGCUAGAUUACCAUUAGCGAUGUAGUGAAGAAAAAUAACGAUGCACUUCCAUUUAAACAUGGUAGUGCAAUUGGAAUGAGACGACUUUAAAUCAGUCAGUCGAGUAACAAAUGGAGGGCAAGUCUGGUGCCAGCAGCCGCGGUAAUUCCAGCUCCAUUAGCAUACAUUAAAGUUGUUGCGGUUAAAAAGCUCGUAGUUGAAUUUGUAGCAAGUUUUGGAGGUUCGCGUCCGACAAAGGUCGGUGUAGCAUCCGUGUUGCAUCCGACUGGGCGUCGAUUCCACUCAAAACUUGUUGUUUCGUCACUUCAUUCAGGUGCGAAGCAGGCUGAAACAUUCGUCCUUGCGACAAAUGUCACAGCAAGUUUACCUUGAGAAAAUUAGAGUGCUCAGAGCAGGCAGUUUGGGUGUAAAAGCCCAUUUAUGCUUGAAUAAUGUUGCAUGGAAUAAUAGAAUAUGGCCUCGGUUCUAUUCUGUUGGUCUUAUAGAACAACAAACAAGUUGGUUGGGGCGUCAAUAGUAACUGUCAGGGGGGGUUUUGUUCAUCGAUUGUUGCCUUGAGCCUAAAAAUUUAAGCGCCAAUUUAUAACAUCUCCAUCCAACUCCCUAGCAGACCUACUAGCCUUCCAUUACCAACUGAGGCAAUGGUUAAAAGAAAUAGUCGCGGCGGCAUCAGUACUGCAUCGUGAGAGGUGAAAUUCUUAGACCGAUGCAAGACUAACUGAAGCGAAAGCGUUUGCCGAGGAUAUUUUCAUUAAUCAAGAACGAAAGUUAGAGGUUCGAAGGCGAUCAGAUACCGCCCUAGUUCUAACCAUAAACGUUGCCAACUAGCAAUUGGGUUGCGAUUCCUUUGAUCGCGCUCACUCUAAACAAGUGGCCGAUUAUUAUGAUCCACCCAGCGGCUCUCGUAGGGAAACCAAAGUGUUUGGGUUCCGGGGGAAGUAUGAUUGCAAAGUUGAAACUUAAAGGAAUUGACGGAAGGGCACCACCAGGAGUGGAGCCUGCGGCUUAAUUUGACUCAACACGGGGAAACUUACUAGAUUAAAACUCUGGAAUGAUUGACAGAUUGAUAGCUCUUUCUUGAUUCAGAGGAUGGUGGUGCAUGGCCGUUCUUGAUUCGUAUUCCGAAACGUCUGCUUAAUUGCGAUAACGAGUGAGACCUCACCCAACUAACUAGUCGUUUGUUGCGCUGUGGAACGCAAAAGUUUUGGGUAGGCCAGUUUAAUUGGUGUUUGGGGAAACUCAGCGCCAGCUAGACUCCUAUUCAAAAUGUUCUCUGCUCGACAACGGACUUCUUAGAGGGAUAAACGGUGUUUUAGCCGUAAGAAACGAGGCAAUAACAGGUCUGUGAUGCCCUUAGAUAUUUUAGGCCGCACGCGUGCUACAAUGGCGUGUGCAGAAAGCUUGUUCGAGGUUUGACCAGAGAGAACUGCUUGCUUGGUUGGCAGGGGUGGGCAACUGCUUCUGUUAGUCGGCUUGCAAGUGACUUUGGGUUAUCCAAGCCGAGAGAAACCGUAGUCGAAAGAUUACGGCAAUCAUAAAUACACGCCGUGAUUUGGGAUUGGGGAUUGCAAUUGUUGCCCAUGAACGAGGAAUUCCCAGUAAGCGCAAUUCAUCAUAUUGCGUUGAUUACGUCCCUGCCCUUUGUACACACCGCCCGUCGCUACUACCGAUUGGAAGUUUUAGUGAGGCAUUUGGACCUGCUAGCCAUUAAGAGGGGCAACCUUCUUUCGGCUUGGCGGGGAAGUCUGUCGAACUCAAAUUUCUAGAGGAAGUAAAAGUCGUAACAAGGUUUCCGU